GAGCACCUAUUAUGAGAUACACGUUUUUAAACAUCCUUUUGUGUGUAAGUUUGUAUUAGUACAUGCUAACGAUAUUCAAAAAGUACAUACCUCAAAGAAAACGAUGACGCGAGUUAUCGUCUCUAACGUUCGAGGACUACAAAAAACACUCGGAUUGUAGGCAACAGUUUACUUCCUGGGAUUGGUGACGUAGAUAAGACCAACAUUAUCAUAGUUCAGCCCUCUCUGCUUUGCUUGGGUACGCCCUCAAAGACGGGGGUGGGGAGCGCCGAGUCAGAAGAGAGCUAAAAUGGCGGAGGUUGGGAGUCCCUGCUUUGACUCUGUUUGCAAACUCUUGUUUCAUUGUUUAAGCGAUUAAAUCUCUCGAGUAGACGCUGUCUCUUUAGAUGCAAGGGCAAAAUAGCACUUUAUGGACUUACACAGAGGACAUCAUGUUUAAUACGGUUCCGGAAAAAUCCAGUCAGAAGUUCUUCACGGAGUUUUCACAAUAACUGCUUCUCAUGAACCGAAGCUGCGCGACGUCUCCUCCUGAAAGUUGGAUUACCGUGCACUUCUGGAUCACAGGCUAUUCGCAGCUGGACACAUCCUUCUAACUAACACUGUAUGCAAACAUGCAACAUCAUAACACACAGUACAAGGAGUCAGACUGGCAUAUGAGGAGCAAAGGAACCCACGCAGUAGCAUCGUUUCAAAAUGUUUCCAUCACCAUCAUCAGUGGAUGCCUUUGCCGUCCGUACCCUGAGAUUUCAGAUUUGCUGCAAAAAAUGUGACUUUCCCAUUUAUUGGAAUGCUGUGCAGCCAUCCAUUACAAUGUCACCAAGCCGUAACAAAAGCAGGAGAGGGAAAGUACAAGGCUAUGUUCCCAAAACACAAAAGUGACAUACUUUAUGUGGAUGAUGUGAUCAGGCUUGUGUUUGCUGAGGUAUUUGAAGAUAAGCUGAAGGAAACCCCGAUUCCAAUGGACCUGGCAUCACAGUUUGAGAGACCUUCAAAGGAGGACGUGAUUGCAUGCCAUCUUCAGUGCAGGGGUCGUCGGAAGCCAACAUUCCGAUCGGGAAGCUCCAAGCGUAUCUGGAGAACAACACACGACAGGAUGAUAACCCUAAAGUGUCAUCUUAGAUAGCAUCAGCUGACAAAGCUUUGAUAUGCCAUUUAUCUGAAUAGAUAGCUGUAAGAAAUGAAUUGAACAAUUUUUGAAAGAAGAGCACAAUAUGGUUACUAAAGUAUGUUUAUUUGUAUAUUGUUUAACAUUUAAAUAUAUAUUUGUAAUAAAUAAAAAACUUUUGACUGA